CCUACGGGUGGCAGCAGUGGGGAAUAUUGCACAAUGGGGGAAACCCUGAUGCAGCGACGCCGCGUGAGUGAAGAAGUAUUUCGGUACGUAAAGCUCUAUCAGCAGGGAAGAAAAUGACGGUACCUGACUAAGAAGCCCCGGCUAACUACGUGCCAGCAGCCGCGGUAAUACGUAGGGGGCAAGCGUUAUCCGGAUUUACUGGGUGUAAAGGGAGCGUAGACGGCAGCGCAAGUCUGGAGUGAAAUCCCAUGGCUUAACCAUGGAACUGCUUUGGAAACUGUGCAGCUAGAGUGCAGGAGAGGUAAGCGGAGUUCCUAGUGUAGCGGUGAAAUGCGUAGAUAUUAGGAGGAACAGCAGUGGCGAAGGCGGCUUACUGGACUGUAACUGACGUUGAGGCUCGAAAGCGUGGGGAGCAAACAGGAUUAGAUACCAGUAGUC
rnacentral:rRNA from 1 species